CAUGUCUAUGUGUGGUCUUUGUGUGUUAAGUUCUAAUACUUGUUGGGUUUGAGUUAUAGAUCUAUAAAAAUGUCAUCGGAUAGAGAAUGGAUGUACGGGAUGAGAUUCAAUAAAGAUGGUACUUUAAAUAUGCAAUUUCAACAACGUGUUGAUUAUUUUCUGGAUUUUGCAUACGAACACGCAACGAACAUUGAAGAGGAAACUAUAGGCGGGGUCCAGAAGUUACUAAUUAGAUGCCCAUGUAGUAAAUGCAAAAACCGUUACUACAAGACGAGAAACGUUGUUGAUUGUCAUCUAACUUCACUAGGAUUUAUGAAAGAUUAUCAGCUAUGGUACGCACAUGGUGAAUCUGAAGAGCCGAUGGGCGUGGACCAAUGUUCAAACCCCAUACCGUCUCAGCAUGUGGGUCAGGAUGUUGUUGAAGAUAUUGGUGAAUAUACCGAAUAUGAUCAAAUGGUCAUGGAAUGCAUGCACCAAGAUCCAAAUCAAGAAGCACAUGCAUUCUACCGUAUGUUAGAGCAAGCUAAUGAGCCUUUAUGGGAGGGGUGCAAAGAUGCUAGCACACUCUCUAUCACCACCAGGUUAUUGAAUUGGAAAUCAGACUGUAAUAUUUCGGACUCGACAUUUGAUAAACUACUUCCGAUAAUCAAAGACAAUCUACCUGAUGAUAACAAGCUACCUAGAAACUUUUAUGAGACCAAGAAGAUGUUGAAGCCACUAGAGUUGCCAUCACAAGUGAUUCAUGUGUGUCAAAACCAUUGUAUGCUAUUCAAUGGCCCGCAUUCUGAUCUGGAUCGUUGUAUAGUAUGUAAUGAAUAUAGAUACAAGGAAAGAGGGAAAAAAGUGCCUAAGUUGGUGAUGACUUACAUGCCUAUCGGACCAAGACUUCAAAGAUUGUUUUAUUCAAAAAAGACAGCCCAACAUAUGACUUGGCACGCAGAUCGUAGUCCAUCCGAAAAGAUGAGUCAUCCUAGUGAAGGUCGAGCCUGGCACCAUUUUAACUCGGUUUUUUCUGAUUUUGCAAAAGAGACACGCAAUAUUCGUCUUGGAUUGUGUACAGAUGGAUUUAGUCCAAAUAAUGCAAGCGGGGCAAAGUAUUCAUGUUGGCCAGUGUUUAUCACGGUGUACAACCUACCUCCUUGGUUGGCCUUGAAAGAGCAAUAUGUACAAAUUCCUUUAAUCAUUCCCGGUCCAAAUAAUCCCCAACAAAAUAUUGACGUUUUUCUACAACCUUUGGUAGACGAGCUAAAACAGUUGUUCACACAUGGCAUUGAAACUUAUGAUGCCCAUCGAUGUGAGAAUUUCAAAAUGAAGGCCGUACUUUUAUGGACCGUUAGUGACUUUCCGGCUUAUGCGAUGUUGUCCGGAUGGAGCACACAUGGUAAGUUAGCCUGCCCAUAUUGCUCGAAUGAAUCGGGAUCAUUCCGACUUCCGUUUGGAGGGAAACCAUGUUGGUUUGACUGCCAUAGACAACAUCUUCCCGCAAAACAUUGUUUUCGAAAAGAUAAGACUAACUUUCGAAAAAACAAAAUGGUUUCGCGUGUAAGAGAUAUUCCACAGCCAACCGGAGAAGAAAUAUGGCAGGUUAUAAAAGAGUUUCCCAUUGUUUAUGAUGGCAAACCCUAUGGUACUGAAAGAUAUGAAAAACCGCCAGGUUUUGGGAUUACACAUAAUUGGGUAAAAAGAAGCAUCUUUUGGGAACUUCCGUAUUGGAGUAAGUUGUUAAUCCGACAUAAUCUCGACGUGAUGCAUAUCGAAAAGAAUGUAUUUGACAAUCUGUUUCACACAAUCAUGGGCACCAACACAUCCAAAGACAAAGACAAUAUGAAGGCAAGGCAAGACAUGGAGCGUAUUUGUGACCGAUUUCAUUUAAACCCCACAUGUGAUAACAACGGAAAGAUGACUAAAAAUAGGGGAAAUUACACUCUGUGAAAAGAUGACGUUAAAAAAGUUUGUGCUUGGUUGAAGAAGGUAAAAUUUCCAGACGGGUAUGCAUCAAAUAUAGGGAGUUGUGUAAACAUGAAAGACAACACUUUUCAUGGUUUUAAAAGCCAUGACUGUCAUGUGUUUAUGCAAUGGUUGCUUCCACUCGCUAUUUGAGGUUUUGUCUCAAAAGAGACAUAUGAGGCUGUAACAGAGUUGUGCAUGUUCUUUCGAGUCUUAUGCUCAAAAUCGUUGCAUGUAGAUGACUUGAUUAACAUGAAGCGCACUAUUGUUAUAACAGUAUGCAAGUUGGAGAAAAUUUUCCCUCCUAGUUUCUUUGAUUCUAUGGAGCACCUAGUCAUACAUCUAGCUGAUGAAGCUCUUCUUGGUGGUCCGGUACAAUACAGGUGGAUGUACCAAUACGAAAGGAAGCUUGGCUUAAUGAAAAGAAGAAUCAGAAACAAAUCAAAGGUUGAGGGUUCAAUGGUGAAGGAACAUCUAGUGAAUGAAAUCGCCACCUAUUGUUCUCUAUACUUUGACUCAACGAUUGAGACACGCCAUAAUCGAGAGCCACGAAAUUUCGCACCGCAACAUCUCAGCUCUUCGAGUGGAGGCUCUAAACUAAGCGUAUUUGUCGUUCCAUCGAGACGAUUACAUCAAAAGGGUGGAACACGGAGGCAUAUGAGUAAUGAAGAACUUAAAAAGGUGCACACAUAUGUUCUUCUAAAUUGUGUAGAAGUUUACCCUUAUAUCGACAAAUUUGAUGAAGUGGCACCACAACUGUAUCCGGACGAACCAGAAUUCCUUCUUAGAGAUAACCAUUUUGCUGAAUGGUUUGAAAAUCACGUAAUGAAUGGCUUAAUUGAUGGAAGCACUCGACAUUUGGAAAUUUUAGCAAGACAACCAUCAAUGUACGCUCAAUCACACAAUGGGUACUUUGUAAAUGGUUAUAAGUUUCACACCCAGAAGCAUGGUAAGGGACUUGUGACCCCAAACUGUGGUGUAUGUGUGAGAGGGGAAACGUAUAACGCCGAAGAGUCUGACUACUACGGCUUAGUGGACGAGAUAUUAGAACUUAAGUAUAAUGGCAAGGAACCUCAAAUUGUGGUAGUGUUUAAAUGUACAUGGUUUGAUAACAACCUGGGUGUAAUAGUUAACAAAAAUAAGCUUGUUGAUGUUAAACACAAGUUUCAUCUUCCAGGUGAUGACAAGUUUAUCUUGGCAUCACAGGCAGAACAAGUUUUUUACACUUCAUACCCUGCCGUGACACGUGAUACGAAAGAUCUAUGGCCGGUUGUGAAGACAAAAUCCCGUCACAUUUAUGAUCUCACUACACCUGAAACUGAUGUCACCAAUGAUGGUAACACGACAUCACACGAUUUUCUUCAAACUGAUGAACGGUUCGAGUUACCGAAUGCGGUAACUCGGAGUGAUCCCUUAGACCGGGUUACAUUUCAUGAUGAUGAUGAUGACGGUUGUGAUGAUGAUGAUGCAAACGUUUAUUCUGACCACUCUUUAGAUGAAGAUGAACAUGAUUGUUAGGAACAUAAAUUGUUUGUUGUAUACUUGUUAUUAUUUGAGAUA